rnacentral:rRNA from 1 species
AUUGAACGCUGGCGGCAGGCUUAACACAUGCAAGUCGAGCGGGGGAAGGUGCUUCGGUACUAACCUUAGCGGCGGACGGGUGAGUAAUGCUUAGGAAUCUGCCUAUUAGUGGGGGACACCAUCUCGAAAGGGAUGCUAAUACCACAUACGCCCUACGGGAGAAAGCAGGGGAUCACUUGUGCCCUUGCGCUAAUAGAUGAGCCUAAGUCGGAUUAGCUAGUUGGUGGGGUAAAGGCCUACCAAGGCGACGAUCUGUAGCGGGUCUGAGAGGAUGAUCCGCCACACUGGGACUGAGACACGGCCCAGACUCCUACGGGAGGCAGCAGUGGGGAAUAUUGGACAAUGGGGGGAACCCUGAUCCAGCCAUGCCGCGUGUGUGAAGAAGGCCUUAUGGCUGUAAAGCACUUUAAGCGAGGAGGAGGCUCUUUUGGUUAAUACCCAAGAUGAGUGGACGUUACUCGCAGAAUAAGCACCGGCUAACUCUGUGCCAGCCGCCGCCGUAA